ACCAUCAUUUAAUUCAUUAUGUGCGGCACUUGAAGCAAUUGAAAAGGGUGCAAUAGCUGAACGUAUAAGUGCUAUGUUUGGAGGAAAUUCAUCAGAAGGAAAGAAACCAGCUAAAAAGCCAAAAACUGACUCUCCUACUACAAAAACUGGUGCUGGAAACAAAGAUGGAGGAGCUCAAGCAAGUUCUGGUGAUGAGGAA